GAUAGUCAGCGGUAGUAAGUUAUCUCAAUUGAUUGUUCACAGUCAGGUCAAACUCCUUAUUCUACUCUUUUCUCCCUUCUCACUACUGCAUCAAACUGGUCUUAA
rnacentral:Y_RNA from 1 species